CUCUUUCUUUCUCUAUCUUCUCUCAUGUCUUUCUUCUCCUAGAUCUAUAUAUCUCUCUGCAUCAUUUUUUUUAUUUUAUUUUUGUUAUCUCUGUGUUCUCUUUAUCAAACGGAGAUUUCUUGAUGGUGACAUGCAUUAUGGUAUUGUGUUUGUUGCGGGGAAGCAGAGGGAAGAAGUAGAGACACGACAGGGAGGAGCGAGAGAUGCAUACUGGCAUCAACAACAACAACAAUUGGCAUGCAGUUUGGUGAGGCUGAGAUGAUUCGGAUGGCAAUAGACAGAACGGAAGAGAAGUCAUAGUUGCAGCACCAGAAGCGGCCAUCAACGGUCUUGGUGCGAUGAUGCUGUUUUCUCUGCUUAUAGGCGUCUUUGCCUGGUGUGAAGCUUUUGAUGCAGUAAAUCCUUAACCUCAUUGUUGUUGCCGGGAUUCUAUUUGCAAUUCGCCAAAAGAGUAUAUAUUCAUUUUCAUCAUCCUCAUAGAUCAUAUUUUUCAAUUUUUUUCUUUUCAUCACUCCAUUAAUGGAGCAGAGUACGUGAAGGCAAAAUCAAAUUGGCUACUGGAAAUUCGUGGGCAACCCCGGCAAGAAGGUUUAGCUUUCGGAGUCCAAGAUCCAGCAGCUCUGCUUGAUUUCCAGAGACAUUUUCUUGCAAGUUGCAACAGCCAGAUUUAUGGGAUCUCCAAUCUUUCAUUUAGAUUUGUGGUACUCUAACUUCUUGCAAUUCCUGACACUACCACCGCUUUCUUUCUUCAUAACAAGUGAAUGUGUACACUUUUAUGCAUCCCUUACUCUGCUGCUUUCUUUCUUGCAAUCCCUUUUGUUUCGGUCUUCUUCCUUUCUUUUUGAAGUCAGCAUUUGAUUGAUUUAUUAUUGCGUUUAUUUUUUAUUUUAAUUUUUUCUAAUAGUGGUUUUAUAUUCUUUUAAUUUAAGAGUGACAUUACUAUUAUAUUUUUUAAUAUAUUUUUUAACCAUAUUUUAAAAUCUUGAUUUUUAUUUCAUAUCACCUCUCUACAAUCUUAUUUUUUCAAUACAUUAUUGACUAAGAUUUGGUAACUUCUACUGUUUAUGAUACAUGGUUCAGUAUCUCCUUUUUGAGUUUUGAUAAUGAAAUUUGGUAAAUAUUUUGAUUUUAACUGUUUAUGUGAUCUUUUCAUAUCUUUAUCAUUAUCAUAACCUCAGAAAAAAGAAACUAAUAUCACCACAGAAGCAAGGAGGUAAAGAAACCAUGAUGGCAGUCCUGAAUGUAAUAAUUGAAAGAGAAGGGAGGAAUUGGAGAAAGAAAGUGGUGGUUCAGGUUCACAUUCUUCCUUGCAAAGCCUUCUCUGUCAUGGUGGUUCUGCUUAUGGUGCUUGGUUCAGUUGUGCCUCAAAUAAGUUAGGAUAGGUUCCAUUAACACUGCCAUACCCAUUCUCACAUUAGUUUAUUUUUUAUUUUGUAGUUAUUAUUUUGAAGCUUAAAGUUUGUAGUUUUCUUUUAUUAUUAUUUAUCUAUAAAAAAAUCAAGUUAUUGAAAAUUUCAUAUCAAAGCAUUGUAUCACCCUAGCACCUACUGAUAAAUAUUUUUAUAUUAUGCUUUUCACUGAAAAGGGUUUAUUUGUCAUCUUCAUCAUUGAUUGAUUGACUAUUGUUUUUUAGGUUAUUUUUUCGUUGAAUGGUUAAGGCUCAUACGAGCUAUAUGUUAUAAGGAUUUGUAUUUUAUUUUUAUCCUUUUUGAAAUUAUAUGGUUUACUUUGUGUAUUAUGCUAUGUUUGAAAGAUAUUCCAGCAAAAGAGGGUAUUAGGUCAAAGUUUUUAUGAUAAAAAAAGUGUGAAAAAUAACAAAUAUUGAUAAUCAGGUUGAAUACUACCGUUACUCUCCAUUUCAAAGCUUUGGUUAGACAUGGUGAAUAAGAUUUGGAAUUACUUUUGC